rnacentral:misc_RNA from 1 species
GAAAUGCGAUAAGUAAUGUGAAUUGCAGAAUUCAGUGAAUCAUCGAAUCUUUGAACGCACAUUGCGCCCGCCAGUAUUCUGGCGGGCAUGCCUGUUCGAGCGUCAUCUCAACCAUCAAGCCCCCGGGCUUGUGUUGGGGACCCUGCGGCUGCCCGCACGCCCUGAGCGAGGUGUAAUGCUACUACGCUCGGUGUGGACAGCGAGCGUAGUAGCAUUACACCUCGCUCAGGGCGUGCGGCGUGCUCCGGCCGUUAAACGCGACCUUAACGCAUACCAAGGUUGACCUCGGAUCAGGUAGGAAGACCCGCUGAACUUAA